GAUGAACGCUGGCGGCGUGCCUAAUACAUGCAAGUCGAGCGAACAGAUGAGGAGCUUGCUCCUCUGACGUUAGCGGCGGACGGGUGAGUAACACGAGGAUAACCUACCUAUAAGACUGGGAUAACUUCGGGAAACCGGAGAUAAUACCGGAUAAUAUAUUGAACCGCAUGGUUCAAUAGUGAAAGACGGUUUUGCUGUCACUUAUAGAUGGAUCCGCGCCGCAUUAGCUAGUUGGUAAGGUAACGGCUUACCAAGGCAACGAUGCGUAGCCGACCUGAGAGGGUGAUCGCCCACCCUGGAGCUUAGACACGGUCCAGGCUCCUGCGGGAGGCACCAGUAGGGAAUCUUCCGCAAUGGGCGGAAGCCUGACGGAACAACGCCGCGUGAGUGAUGAAGGUCUUCGGAUCGUAAAACUCUGUUAUUAGUGAAGAACAAAUGUGUAAGUAACUAUGCACGUCUUGACGGUACCUAAUCAGAAAGCCACGGCUAACUACGUG
rnacentral:rRNA from 1 species